GACGAACGCUGGCGGCGUGCCUAAUACGUGCAAGUAGGACGCACAGUUUAUACCGUAGCUUGCUACACCAUAGACUGUGAGUUGCGAACGGGUGAGUAACGCGUAGGUAACCUGCCUAUUAGAGGGGGAUAACUAUUGGAAACGAUAGCUAAUACCGCAUAACAGUAUGUAACACAUGUUAGAUGCUUGAAAGAUGCAAUUGCAUCGCUAGUAGAUGGACCUGCGUUGUAUUAGCUAGUAGGUAGGGUAAAGGCCUACCUAGGCAACGAUACAUAGCCGACCUGAGAGGGUGAUCGGCCACACUGGGACUGAGACACGGCCCAGACCCUACGGGAGGCAGCAGUAGGGAAUCUUCGGCAAUGGGGGGAACCCUGACCGAGCAACGCCGCGUGAGUGAAGAAGGUUUUCGGAUCGUAAAGCUCUGUUGUUAAGGAAGAACGAGUGUGAGAAUGGAA
rnacentral:rRNA from 1 species